UCCGUAGGUGAACCUGCGGAGGGAUCAUUACCGAGUUUACAACUCCCAAACCCCUGUGAACAUACCACUUGUUGCCUCGGCGGAUCAGCCCGCUCCCGGUAAAACGGGACGGCCCGCCAGAGGACCCCUAAACUCUGUUUCUAUAUGUAACUUCUGAGUAAAACCAUAAAUAAAUCAAAACUUUCAACAACGGAUCUCUUGGUUCUGGCAUCGAUGAAGAACGCAGCAAAAUGCGAUAAGUAAUGUGAAUUGCAGAAUUCAGUGAAUCAUCGAAUCUUUGAACGCACAUUGCGCCCGCCAGUAUUCUGGCGGGCAUGCCUGUUCGAGCGUCAUUUCAACCCUCAAGCCCUCGGGUUUGGUGUUGGGGAUCGGCGAGCCCUUGCGGCAAGCCGGCCCCGAAAUCUAGUGGCGGUCUCGCUGCAGCCUCCAUUGCGUAGUAGUAAAACCCUCGCAACUGGAACGCGGCGCGGCCAAGCCGUUAAACCCCCAACUUCUGAAUGUUGACCUCGGAUCAGGUAGGAAUACCCGCUGAACUUAAGCAUAUCAAUAAGCGGAGGA
rnacentral:rRNA from 2 species